AGCAUCACACACAUCUCCCAGACUCUAACUCAUUGUGCUGUGUUCCCCUGCUCAACACAUCUGUGUGUGUCCCAACUGACUCUUGCUGCUAGAACCUGGAUCUCACGGCUAGAGUGCAAUGCAAAGCAACGGCCAUAAUGAAGGCUAGAGACCAUGUUGCGGAGCCUUCGGUGGGCAAGCGGUCAUUUGAUUGAUGAAGAGAUGGCCAGCAAUCUAAUACUGUUGUAGAGGAGUUCCUGCAAGAGGCAAAGGACAUGCAACGGAAAUCUUACCAAGAUGGCAAGUUGUAACAUUUGAAUAAUAUUUUUGUACGGCAUGUGUGGCAAAGCCUGAGAUUGUAUCAUUUUACUUGUCCUGUGUUGUUCCUGAUUAAUGUAUCUUUUGUGUAAUUUUUGUAUUUAGUUUAUUACAGCUCUUCAGGUACUACUCACUGUUGUCAGACGCUCAGCUGGAUGAGAGGAUCAAAGAGCUGAUUGGGCAGAAUGAAGAACUUGGUGCAGAGUCUGUGAGGGCACGCUUAAGAGGGUCAGACAGAGUAUGAUCCGUGUCAACUCCUAAGGAGCUGCAAGGAGAGCCAUGCAGCAGUGGCUACACCAGAGGCAGUACAGAGUUGCAGGCCCAAAUUCUUUGUGGCACAUCGAAGGGCAACCAUAAACUAAUCCGGAUAGUGCAUAUGCUUAGGCCUCCUGAACACUCCAUGUUUAUGCAAUCUUAACAUCGUUAAAAAAAACGAAUGAUUUAUCUGGUUCUAUGGUCAUGAAAGAAUUGUGGCCCUAUUCUUGGGUAUACAGUCCCUUCAGAAAAUAUUUACACCUCUUGACUUUUUCCACAUUUUGUUUUGGUACAACCUGAAUUUAAAAUUGAUUAAAUUGAGACUUUGCCACUGGUCAACACACAAUACCCUAUAAUGUCAAAGUGGAAUUAUGUUUUUUGAAUUUUUUACUAAUUCAUUUAAAAAUAAACAGCUGAAAUGUCUUGAGUCAAAAGAAAUUCAACCCUUUUGUUAUGGCAAGCCAAAAUACUAAGUUCAGGAGCACAAUUUUGGAAUGACUACCUCAUCUCAAGGCACUGUAACUGUAAUAAUGAUAUCGAUAAUAAAAACAGAAUGGCGUCACUAUAAGAGAAAAACACGUUUUUGUAAAACAAAUGUAUCUUGUUUUUUAGGUGGAGGAUUGUUAUCCAUGGUGCUGUGGAUGGUUACAGCAGACUUGUUGUGUUUCUGAAGGCCUCUGACAACAACAGGAAGCAGCCAUCACCAGCUACGGAGUACCAUCCCGGGUGAGAUGUGACCGGGGUGGUGAAGCGUAUCUGUGCCUUCGUGGAGCAGUUCAGGGGUGAUGACAGGAGCACUCACAACCAGAGGAUAGAGCGGCUGUGGGGGGACAUCUGGCAUGGAGUCUCCAACAUUUACCAUGACGUAUUCACCUUCUUGGAAACGGAGCAGAUCAUCGACAUCAACAAUGAGGUGCACCUCUGGGCACUGCACUUUGUAUCAGUUGAACCACCAUGGGCUGAGGACUGAACAAUGUCAGUCAGCUCUGCAAUUGUUCAUCUCAGGUUCCCCGACAACGCAGAGGGCCAAUCUGACAGCAGAAAGGGUUUUGUUCGCCCCAGCUUCAAGCACCAUCACCUCUCAAGCCACCACCUCAGCUCCUCCAACCAACAUCACCUCAGCUCCUCCAACCACCACCACCUCAGCUCCUCCAACCAACACCACCUCAGCUCCUCCAACCAACAUCACCUCAGCUCCUCCAACCAACAUCACCUCAGCUCCUCCAACCAACACCACCUCAGCUCCUCCAACAAACACCACCUCAGCUCCUCCAACCAACACCACCUCAGCUCCUCCAACCAACAUCACCUCAGCUCCUCCAACCACCACCACCUCAGCUCCUCCAACCAACACCACCUCAGCUCCUCCAACCAACAUCACCUCAGCUCCUCCAACCAACAUCACCUCAGCUCCUCCAACCAACACCACGUCAGCUCCUCCAACCAACAUCACCUCAGCUCCUCCAACCAACACCACCUCAGUUCCUCCAACCAACACCACCUCAGUUCCUCCAACCACCAACACCUCAGCUCCUCCAACCAACACCACCUCAGCUCCUCCAACCACCACCACCUCAACUUCUCCAACCACCACCACCUCAGCUUCUCCAACCAACACCACCUCAGCUCCUCCAACCAACACCACCUCAGUUCCUCCAACGACCACCUCCGCUCCUCCAACCACCACCACCUCAGUUCCUCCAACCAACUCCACCUCAGCUCCUCCAACCAACAUCACCUCAACUUCUCCAACCACCACCACCUCAGCUCCUCCAACCAACACCUCAGCUCCUCCAACCACCGCCACCUCAGCUCCUCCAACCACCACCACCUCAACUUCUCCAACCACCACCACCUCAGCUUCUCCAACCACCACCUCAGCUCCUCCAACAAACACCACCUCAGCUCCUCCAACCAACACCACCUCAGCUCCUCCAACCAACAUCACCUCAGCUCCUCCAACCACCACCACCUCAGCUCCUCCAACCAACACCACCUCAGCUCCUCCAACCAACAUCACCUCAGCUCCUCCAACCAACAUCACCUCAGCUCCUCCAACCAACACCACGUCAGCUCCUCCAACCAACAUCACCUCAGCUCCUCCAACCAACACCACCUCAGUUCCUCCAACCAACACCACCUCAGUUCCUCCAACCACCAACACCUCAGCUCCUCCAACCAACACCACCUCAGCUCCUCCAACCACCACCACCUCAACUUCUCCAACCACCACCACCUCAGCUUCUCCAACCAACACCACCUCAGCUCCUCCAACCAACACCACCUCAGUUCCUCCAACGACCACCUCCGCUCCUCCAACCACCACCACCUCAGUUCCUCCAACCAACUCCACCUCAGCUCCUCCAACCAACAUCACCUCAACUUCUCCAACCACCACCACCUCAGCUCCUCCAACCAACACCUCAGCUCCUCCAACCACCGCCACCUCAGCUCCAACCAACUCCACUUCAGAUUCUACAACCACCACCACCUCAACUUCUCCAACCAACACCACCUCAGUUCCUCCAACCACCACCACCUCAGCUCCUCCAACCACCACCACCUCCUUCUACAACCACCACCACCUCAACCUCUCCAACCACCACCACCACCACCUCAGCUUCAGCAACCAACAUCACCUCAGCUCCUCCAACCAACACCUCAGCUACUCCAACCACCGCCACCUCAGCUCCAACCAACUCCACCUCAGAUUCUACAACCACCACCACCUCAACUUCUCAAACCAACAUCACCUCAGCUCCUCCAACCAACACCACUUCAGCUCCUCCAACCACUGCCGCCGCAGCUCUUUGUUGGUCGGAAGGGGUGAUUGUGCCACAAAUCCAAUUCACCAUCAGCAACAUACAGAUGGAACUGUUGCGGACAACAAAUCCAUUGGAAGGCCCCAGAGGUAGCCUGGUAGUUGACAUUCUACACAGGGUUAUGGCAGUUAUAUCUUCAGCGCCACUCGUUCCUACUCCAACCUAACUUACUACACCCCUGAUACUCGACUAAUGGGACGAGGGAUUGGACGCUAUAUCUUCAGCACCACUCGUUCCUUUGAAUAAGUUCAUUUUUAUAAUACUGUUUGAAAUGUUAAGGACUCAUAUUUUUCAGUCCUUGAAUCAGUUCACCAAUAAUGACUCUCAGUGACACACACACACACACACACACACAAAUGCAUGCACGCGCACACACACACAUGCAUGCAUGUGCACAAACACAAGCACAAACAUACACACACACACACACACACACACACACACACACACACACACACACACACACACACACACACACACACACACACACACACACACACACACACACACACACACAAUGGAGGUGACCACUGGGGUCCAGUUAGCCCUGCCCUGGGUUGCUGCUGCCACCACAGGUAUUAUAUUACAGUUUUUUUCAAUUGUUUAAGCACAAUUUUGAUAACAGGGCCCGGUUUCUCAAAACACUACACACAAUUAGCACAACCCUACACCAAAGUAGCACAACACUUCAGAUCAUUUGCAAAAUGGAACACUUUUGUCAAAACUAUACACGACUUCAUAAAAAUAAUAUUUUGUUACCAUACGAAACACACACAUUUCAUAUGACUUCAAUCUUUUUGAACCAGUUACACACUGCUGUUGCUAAUCUAAAACACUUUUAGCAAGUCUAAUUGUCAGUGAUUAGAGUAGUGUAAAUGAAGUACACAGAGAAAGUGCAACUAUACAAACACUACACAAGACCAACGCUGCAGACUGAGGAAAAUAUCAUUUAUUUCUCUCCAUAUACCCAAAUCAGUCAACAUGUCAACAUGGAGAAUCACAACAAAACAUGUCCCAGUUUUCAUGCUACUACAGUAGUGUGCAUAACACUGUUAGCUCAGCAAACAGACAAACGUACAAUACUGUAUCCAGUACAGGUUACAAUUACAGUAAAUUACAACAACAACAAACAUCAAAAAUAAUCAGAAAAAAACUGACAAUAUUGUACAGAAAAUACUACAGUAAACAUACUAUACAUUAUCUCUUCGCCUAGCUGGAUCUGGCCAGAGAAUUUCAUCAACAUCACAAGCAAUAUCGUCAUUAGCAAGACAACGCGGGAAGAACCGUCUUGAAUGUCGAAUCCAUCCUUGCACAGCUGCGGCGUCGACUUGGUCACAGGCGUCCUCCAUGGCCUGAAUGAGGGGUACCUCAGCCUGGGGCUGGAGAUCGUAAACCUUCCACCGCCAUGCAGAGAAAAACUCUUCGAUAGGGUUUAGAAACGGAGAGUAUGGUGGAAGGUAUAGUACUGUCAACUGUGGAUGGUGUUGAAACCAGUUCUGGACCAAAGCAGAGCGGUGGAAUGACACAUUGUCCCAGAAGACCGUGUAUUGCAUCUGGUGCAUUUCAUUACCUACUGUGACGAUGUGGUGCAAUCGGUCCAAAAAUGCGAGAAUGUGAGGUGUGUUGUAAGGGCCCAUUUUGGCAUGACGGAGGACAACCCCAUGCUGUGAAAUGGCAGCGUAAAGGGUGAUGUUACCCCCACGUUGCCCUGGGACAUUGAUUAUAGCCCUGUGGCCAAUGAUAUUUCUGCCUCGCCUUCUUGCUUUUGUGAGGUUGAACCCUGCCUCAUCAGUAUACAGUAUAUUAAUUCAUGCAGGAUUUCCUCACCAUCCAUCUGCAAAACGCCCUGAAAUACAGUGAAAGACAAGAUUGUGUAGUUCAGGAUAGGUCUAGUAUACAGUCAAUGUAAAGAAGUCAUGUGUGCAGUAUGCAACAUCACAGUGCUAAAGUGAACAAUACAAACCUCCACAUACUCAUGCCGCAGCCGUUUGACCCUCUCUGAAUUCCGCUCAAAAGGCACUCGAUAAAGUUGUUUCAUUUGAACCUGAUGUCUUUUCAGGAUGCGUGCCAGUGUUGACUGAGAGACCUGAUGGACAUUAUUGAAAAUGGCAUGUUCACCGAUAAUGUUGGCUUGUAGUUCUCUGAGCCUGAUAGCAUUAUUGGCCAAAACCAUGUCUAUUAUCUCUCUCUCUUGUUCUUGCGUGAAUAUGGGCCCCCUUCCUCCUUGUCGUUCCCGACCCUCAAUCCUAUGUAGAGAAUAAUACAUGUAACUUACUGUACAAUGUCACAGGAAUUGGUAUCACAAGUGCUGAUAUGGUGCAUACAAUAAGCGGCUGAUUACUGUAACUGUAGACAGAUCUUAUUUUACCUGUUUUCCUGUCGAAAAGUGACAUUAUGACAGAUGCCACUGUAUAUCUGCUAAGAUUUGGCUGAACUCUCAGUCCAGCCUCCCUCAGCGUCAAUCCGUGGUUCACAACAUGGUCCACUAGUGUUGCACGAAUGUCAUUUGAUAAGUUUGGUCCUCUUCUUCUUUGUGCACAUUCUCCUCCUGCUUCAGGUCUUCCUCGACCUCUGACUCUGACUCGGCCUCUGCCUCGGCCUCUGCCUCUUCCUCUACCUCCUUCUCUGCGUACUCCUCCUCUCACCCUCACUCUUCUUCUGACUCCUUCCAUUUUGGUUGAAGGCAGGUGAACCUACCUCCUGCAUUUUUAUAGUGCUUAAACCUGAUUGGUGUGUCUACAAUUUAGCAUUCAUGUGUUUGUGCACCUGAUGGCUGUGUUUAACAGAUUGGCUCAUAGGUGUUGUAAUUUGACAGUCAGUGCUUUUGAAUUGCAAGGAAGUGACAUUAUGAUAUACUUCUGUGUCUGAUGUAUACAAGUGUGUUUAGUGUUUUGCAAAUCACUGUGUGUAAUGUUUUGCAAAUAGUGUGAAGCUGACAAUGUGCUUACAGUUGUGCAGAUCUAGCCUUGUGUUUUGCUCCUUGAGUGUAAGGUUUUGCUAAUUGUGGGAAAAGUUCAAUUGUAGUGUGUCAGCAAUCGUAAAAAAACUGUAAUUCAGGAGCUGUAAGGCUGUGUGUAAAGAAGCUUGAACCCACCGUGCCACAGCCACCAAGGUCAGACACACAUUUAACUACCAAGCCUUUAUAAAGGGAGUGCUUUUCCUGCUGCCUGUAUGUUUUCACAUCGUCACCAGGGCUCAAAAUAAAUCAAAAUUGUUGGUAGCACUGGUGCUCACUACUUUUAAAAAGUUAGGAGCACCACAUAACAUUUAGGAGCACCACAAAAUAAGAUUUUUAAAUUGAUUGAGAUACAGUCUUUAUUGGCCUAUAUAAAUUCUAGAUGUGCACUAGAAACAAAUAUGUAACCCUGCAUAGACAUUUGUUUACAGUUUUUUACAAUCACUUUGGCACUAAUUUCAGAAGCCUUGAUGUCAUUUUUCAAAACUCUAGACACAAAACUCACAACUGAUAAUGAAAAUGCAGAUUCUUCAAUUCUAAUACUUUUUCCAGUUGCUUGGAUACAAUACACAUAAAGCUAAGAUCAUUUGUUCAUUAAACUAAAAUCACCUGUUCAAAAUAACACAACUUAACAUUGGAAAGCCCCAGAGGUAUUACCAUUUCAAAUGGCAAUUCACACAUUACAUGUGAGAUGACUGUCUAUUCAUUUCAUUACAAUGAUCAAACUAUCAAUUGAUAGAACUGCUCAAAAUGAUAAGUAACUGUUGCAUUACUCUUAAUGCAUAGUUUUAUGGAAACUGACAAACAAUAUUCCAUGUUUAGAUCAUGAAAGGUUCAGGAUAAUGAGAUCCAUUGACACCAAUUAUACCGUGGAACAUGAACCAAUUGGACGACAUUAUCAUUCUUUAUCAGACACUUCUCUGGUCCCAUGUAUCACUUUUCCAGACCAUGUUUUCAGAUUUGACAUUACUGUACACUCACCGACCACUUUAUUAGGUACACCUAUCUAGUACUGGGUAGGACCCCCUUUUGCCUCCAGAACAGCCUGAAUUAUUCACAGUGUUGUACGUUAAUUAAGAGAUGCCCUUCUGCACAUCAUUUGUGUACUUUCUGUUAGCUUGAAUGAGCCUGGACAUUCUCCUCUGACCUCUCUCAUUAACAAGGUGUUUUUUCCCACAGAACUGCCGCUCACUGAAUGUGUUUUGUUUAUCGCACCAUUCUCUGUAAACUCUAGAGACUGUAGUUCAUAAAAAUCCCAGGAGGGCAGCUGUUUCUGAAAUGCUGGAAUCACCACAUGUGGCACCAACUGUCACGAUCGUCGGAAGCAUACUCGGACCAAAGCGCAGCGUGAUCUGGGUUCCACAUAUUUAUUCCAUGAAACGCACAAAAACAAUAAAGAAAAAACGACACGUGAAGCUAUGGAGUGCUCACAGGCAACUACACAUAAACAAGAUCCCACAAAAACCAGUGGGGAAAUGGCUGCCUAAAUAUUAUCCCCAAUCAGAGACAACACUAAACAGAUGCCUUUGAUUGGGAACCAUACCAGGCCAACAUGAAAAUAAAACAACCUAGAUUACCCACCAUAGUCACACCCUGACCUAACCAAAAAGGAGAAUAAAAAGGCUCUCUAUGGUCAGGGCGUGACACCAACAAUCAUAUCACGAUCAAAGUUGCUUAGAUUACGCAUCUUGCCUGUUCUAAUGUUUGGUCGAACAACAACUAAAGCUCUCUACUCUAUAUACUCUAUAUAUUAAGUUGCAGGCAGCCACAUUAUUUGCUGUUCGAAGGAGCAGGCUAUUUGCGUUUACACUCAGGUGUACCUAAUAAAGUGGCCAGUGGGUGUAUGUAUGCAGGCCCUUGUAAUUGCUUUUCCAACACUGACAACUCGUUCCUGAUGAUUGAUUUCACAUUGUGGUACGAGUAUAUAGUGAAAUGAGUGGUAUCCACCUACAACAACUUAGCGAUAACAUGGAGCCGGCAGGUGAUCCAGGUCACAAUAGAGGUCAAGCAGUGGGAGGAGGAAGACGAGGAAGACGUGGUGGUCAAAGGAGUGGCAGGGGACAAGCACCCCUUCGCAGAGGUGGUGGUCGGCCUCAUUUGAGAGGUGUGGGGGAUCAUGGUAGAGGACAAGGCCACGGUCCAAGACAGUGGCAGCAACAGCAAAGAGUGUCCAAUGAAAUCCGAGCAAUAGUUGUAAAUCAUGACAAUGACUGAGGCAGCUCCAAUGAGUCAGCCAAACCUCAGAAGAUCAACCCUGGCCUCAAUCAUCAGAACUUUCCACAAUGAGAACCGAACUGAGACUAAGCCAAAUAGGGGAGGCAGAGGCAAAAUUCUGAUUGACCAACGAGCCGGCUGUGGUCAAUUUGGUUCGGGCCAGAAAUUAUAUUCGCCUUACAGAAAUUUGGCAGCACAUCUUGGACAAUGACGACAUGUUCAACAAUGUGGAAGCCAUAAAUUUGCAGUCUAUUGCACGCAUGCUGAAAAGGCAACAGGUGUCUCUAAAACAGCUAUACCGUGUGCCUUUUGAAAGAAAUGCAGACAGAGUGAAGCAACUGAGGACUGAGUAUGUUCAGGUAUGUUCAGUUUCAAGAUGCCUGUUGUGAAAAAUUCCCCCAAAAUUCUAUCGUUGUAAUCAGUUAUUCUCUUUACAAAAUGUAUUUUUAGAGGGUGAUGGAGCCGGAUGCUGAUGAAAACCAUCACAAAUUCCUCUUUUUGGAUGAGGCAGGCUUCAACCUGGCCAAGACAAGGAGGAGAGGUCAGAAUUUCAUUGGCCAGCCGGCAACCAUCCAAGUACCUAGACAACGUGGGGCAAACAUCACCAUGUGUGCGGCUAUAUCGGAAGAUGAUGUGGUGGGAGCUCUCCUUGUAACCUUCCUUGAUGAGCUAAAUCAGGUCAUAGAGCUAAUGGCGUGACCUAUGUCAUUGUGUGGGACAAUGUCAGGUUCCACCAUGCUCAAAUGGUGCAAGCAUGGUUUCAGGCCCAUCCACAAUUUACCACCCUGUACUUACCCCCAAAAUCUCCUUUCCUUAACCCGAUUGAGGAAUUAUUUUCCAUAUGGAGGUGGAUGGUACAUGAUAGACGCCCUCACAAACAAGCCACCCUUCUCCAGGCCAUGGAUGACGCAUGCAAUGACAUCACGGCAGACCAGUGUCAGGCCUGGAUUCGGCAUGCCCAGAGAUUCUUCCCAAGAUGUUUGGCUAAUGAAAACAUCCAUUGUGAUGUGGAUGAGAACCUGUGGCCAAAUGCACAAGAUAGGGUUGAGGGAAAUAUAGAAGUACAGUAAUCAUUCCUUUGUUUUGCAUUUUACAGUAAGCCAGGUGAGGAACACUGCAGCUGACGUUUUACUGUAGUUUUUUACUUUUUUGUAGCUAAUAAUUUUUGCUUUGAUUCAAAGAAACCUAUGUUGGGAUUUUAUUGUAUUUCAUCAAUACAUUUCAGAUUGUUUUAACUGAUUCCACUGUGUCUGUAGAAAUCUCUCUACUAGUUAUUUUUUUACAUUUUAUUUUACAUUUUAUUUUAUUUCACCUUUAUCGUCUUAGUGAUCCCUUCACGCGCCAAUCCCGUUAGCGGGAUAGAUUUGAUAACAUCCAGUGAAAUUGCAGAGUGCCAAAUUCAAACUACAGAAAUAUCAAUAUUAAACAUUCACUAAAAUAUAAGUGUAAUACAUCAAAAUAAAGGUUAACGUCUUGUUAAUCCAGCCGCUGUGUCAGAUUUCAAAAAGGCUUUACGGCGAAAGCAGACGAUGCGAUAUUCUGAGGACAGCGCCCCACAUACAAACACAUGAAUAUAUAUAUUUCAACCAGGCAGUUGCAACACAAAAGUCAGAAAUAACGAUAUAAUAAAUGCCUUACCUUUGAAGAUCUUCUUUUUGCAAUCCCAAAUGUCGUUGGUCGUUUUGGUCGUUUUGUCCAAUAAAUUCCUUGUUUAUAUCUCCAAAAUGUUCAUUUAUUUGGCGUGUUUGAUUCAGAAAUACACUGGUUCCAACUCGCCCAACAUGACUACAAAGUAUCUAAUAAGUUACCUGUAAACUUGGUCCAAACAUUUCAAACAACGUUCCUAAUCCAACCUCAGGUAUCCUAAAAUGUAAAUAAUCGAUAAAAUUUAAGACGGGAUAAUCUGUUUCAAAUACCGAAGACGCUUUGCCUGUUUGAUGGUUCGUCGCAGGGCAUAGCAGGAUUUCUUAUAAACUUCCGUGUUAGAGUCCUGCACCUUGAAAGCGGCAGCUCUACCCUUUAGCUCAGUGCAAAUGUUGCCUGUAAUCCAUGGCUUCUGGUUGGGGUAUGUACGUACGGUCACUGUGUGGACAACGUUCUCGAUGCACUUAUUGAUAAAGCCAGUGACUGAUGUGCUGUACUCCUCAAUGCCAUCAGAAGAAUCCCGGAACAUGCUCCAGUCUGUGCUAGCAAAACAGUGCUGUAGUUUAGCAUCUGCUUCAUCUGACCACUUUUUUAUAGACCGAGUCACUGGUGCUUCCUGCUUUAAUCUUUGCUUGUAAACAGGAAUUAGGAGGAUAGAGUUGUGGUCGGAUUUAUCAAAUGGAGGGCGAGGGAGAGCUUUGUACACGUCUCUGUGUGUGGAGUACAGGUGAUCUAGAAUUUUUUUCCCUCUGGUUACACAUUUAACAUGUUGAUGGAAAUUUGGUAGAACUGAUUUAAGUUUCCCUGCAUUAAAGUGUCCGGCCACUAGGAGUGCAGCCUCUGGGUGAGGGGUUUCCUGUUUGCUUAUUUCCUUAUACAGCUGUCUGAGUGCGGUCUUAGUGCCAGCAUCUGUCUGUGGUGGUAAAUAAACAGCCAGGAAAAGUAUAGCUGAAAACUCUCUAGGCAAGUAGUGUGGCCUGCAAUUUAUCACAACAUACUCUACAGGCGAGCAAAAUCUAGAGACUUCCUUAGAUUUCGUGCACCAGCUGUUGUUUAAAAAUAUGCACAGACCCCCCCCCCUCGUCUUACCGAAGUGUACUGUUCUAUCUUGCCGGUGCAGUGUAUAUCCCGCUAGCCACGAUUCAGCCCUGAUAUCCAGAAGCUUUUUUUUGCCGUAAGAUACGGUUGCAGAAACAUUAAGUACAAAAUAAGUUACAAAUAACGUGAAAAAAAACACAUAAUAGCACAAUUGGUUGGGCGCCCGUAAAACUGCUGCCAUUUCUACCGGCGCUAAAUUUGACCAAUAGAAACUCUUGUUUGCAACCGUUGGACUAAUGAUUACACCCUAGAUCAGCUAGAUGCGAUCCAGAUUGAGCAAGGCGGUAUUGAAUGUGUCAAUGUCUGUCCCCUUGGUCACUCAAAUUUCUCUUCACCUGAGCACCAUCGUGAUGGUUAUAGGGAAAAUGUUCCUAUCAUGUAGUAGCCUAAACCAAUCGAUGUUACAUUGAGCUGGGUGAUUGGAAUAUGAAUGACAUUCAUCCAAUAUGCUGUAAUAGAAAUAAGGCCAUGCAAAAAAAACGAUUAUCCUCCCUCAUCUUAAACGGAACCGACCGCCACUGUGACUGACCAAGGGGAUGAAGGAAUGCAAGUAGUUUUAGAAUGGCCUACAACAUGGUUUAUGAAUGUAAAAUGUGGCCUGCCAAUGGAGAUGCAUCCAGCUGCAGCGCCAUUGCGCAAUAGAAGGAAGAAAAAACAUAGCGCAGGUAAUAUGGGCCACAACUUUUGAACAGUUUGAGCUAAAGACAAGCAGUAUUCUCUAUAGUAAUGAUGCAAGCACCAAGGUCACGAAUCUGCUGGCUUUUUUUCUAGGGCACUCGUAAACAGCAGUACAGUGAAGCCUAAUCAUUACAACAAUUAUUAUCUGGCAGAUUUUCUUCUAAGCACGCUGGUGCUCCCAAAUACAAAUUCCAAGCUGCACAGCAAAAUAUUUAGGAGCAUGUGCAACCAAAAUGUUCGCACCUUAGAGCCGUGAUCGUCACACAUCUGUUAAACUUAGCAUAGCCAUGAAAGGAGAACUUUACAUGUGUAUCAUAGUUUUAAAUAAUAUUUAUACUAAACAGAAAUUUAUAUUAGUAGUGCUUCCUCUAUGUUGAUAUACAAGAGUUUAUCAACACAGCAGAGAGAAUAGACAUUUGUGUCUGACGUGCUAGUCGUGUUCAAUGCAGAUCAUUUGCCACCAGUCCAGGAAUUUGGAGAGUGUAGUGGGGUAAUAUUUGAUAUAUAUGCAUAUUAUGUACACCUCACAUGCAACCGAUAAUAAGACUAGCUAUGCAAUUAGUCUAUUGAAAUGUUGGAUUCACAUACAAGGCAUAAAGCUUAAGUUACAAAGCAUUAACAAGCAUUACCAUGCAAAACUCUAGUCAUGAUCAGGGAGAGGGAGGGAGAGGGAGAGGGAGAGGGAGAGGGAGAGGGAGAGGGAGAG